AAGCGUGCGCAGGCGGUUAUAUAAGACAGAUGUGAAAUCCCCGGGCCUCAACCUGGGAACUGCAUUUGUGACUGUAUAGCUGGAGUGCGGCAGAGGGGGAUGGAAUUCCGCGUGUAGCAGUGAAAUGCGUAGAUAUGCGGAGGAACACCGAUGGCGAAGGCAAUCCCCUGGGCCUGCACUGACGCUCAUGCACGAAAGCGUGGGGAGCAAACAGGAUUAGAUACCCUAGU
rnacentral:rRNA from 1 species